UAUUUACAGUUCCUACCUUUGCUUUGAACUAAACCUCUUUAGCAGUAAGUAUUGUAUUGGAAAGGGUAAGGCCAUUUCCGAGUUAGUAAGUCCUACGAUUCUUUCUUUAAAAAUCUAGUUUUAAGUAUAAAAAGUUUCUAUCUUUCUUCAAGCUUAGGGCUUUUGGUGUAAAGCAAGUAAGGCAAACCUACUCUCAAAUGAGCUCCCGGGGGUUCAUUCAUCUAACCAUGUCCUAGAGCUACUUCAGCAAGGAGUUCGUCCCCCGCUUCCUUUGCUCCACUGGCACCAAAGAUCAAGAAUUCGAAAUAGAAAGAAAGAUUGGUUGGUGGGCUUAACUGCCCCCUAUCACAACAAGGCGGAUAGUGGAAAGGUGAUCAGCUAUAGCAUCAUUGUUCAUCUUCCCCUCUAACUAGAAAUAUCAUAAGAUAAGAAAGAGAAAAUACGUUACGAUCUUGCUUACUAGCUAAGUAGUAGUAGUAGGUUAUCUAUAUGUUAGGUAGUAGCCUAAGCUUGAAGAAGCUCCAAUCAUGAAACUUCAGGCUAUAUGCUUAAUACAUGUAAGUAGAAUCCUCGCGGAGGGGGAGGCAACGAAAGAUUCUUAGAUUCUUAAGUAAAACCCUAGCCCCCUUUCUAUUGUUUCAUCACCAUAAGCAGCAGUGAACGUCAAAUCCGACUCUAUUUGGAGUCGUAUCCUCCUAAUCCCAACCCAAACUUCGAUUUCCAUGAAGCAAACAAGGAUUUGAAGGCUCUUAUCAAGGUAAGUCCCUCCCCUUUUUACACAUUUAUGUGAAAGAUCUAUGUGCAGGAACAAAGAAAGGAAAAAAAAAACAAAUUGAAAACCUGAAAAAAAAUUCAAAUCACCUUUUAGGAACUAAUUUUGGACUGCCUGCUAUUUUUUAACCUGUGUAUGUAUUUUUUUUCUUAUUGCAUUCGUAAAAAAAAAACUUCCUUUUACAAUUGAUUUUCAAAGGCUUUUAUAACCCUUUUACAACCGAUUUUCUACAUGUUUGCAGGUGCGUGGGCGAGCACGCCACUAACGUGUCGUGGUGGAGCGGCGCACGUUGCGAGGUGGUGGCAUUUGGCCCCCGAGGGAGGCAUGGGCCGUGGCGUGAGCUCUAACGGCGGUUCCUAGGGUUUUUGUUGAAACCUAUUUGAGUUUUGGCCAUUUGGACCUUGUAGUUUGGGUCUUAGGAUUUGGGUUGGUUUUGGGCUUGAACUGGUUGUAAAAUGAACAUUUUAAUAUUUUUUUUUUAUUUCUGGUUUGGUUCUAGUACAGGCCUGGGCGAAAUGGGCCUUAUACACCUAUUUAUAUAUAUAUUUAUAAUUUUAAUUUAUUAUAUAAUUUUUAUGUUUCUUACAAU
rnacentral:lncRNA from 1 species